rnacentral:tRNA from 1 species
GCCCCUGUAGCUCAUAUGGAUAGAGCAGCAGUUUCCUAAACUGUUGGCGGCAGGUUCGAUUCCUGCCAGGGGCA